UACAGAGGUGGCAAGCGUUGCUCGGAAUUACUGGGCGUAAAGGGCGCGUAGGCGGUGUGUCAAGUCAGGCGUGAAAGCCCCGGGCUCAACCUGGGAACCGCGCUUGAGACUGGCACGCUCGAGUUCGGGAGAGGAUGGUGGAAUUCCCAGUGUAGAGGUGAAAUUCGUAGAUAUUGGGAAGAACACCGAUGGCGAAGGCAGCCAUCUGGACCGACACUGACGCUGAGGCGCGAAAGCGUGGGGAGCAAACAGG
rnacentral:rRNA from 1 species